UAGGAUUAAAGGUCAUUGUCAGUACUGUGUUGAAACUAAGAAUUGAUCGUUUAAAGAUGUGUAUGUUGGUUUUGGAAGCCUUGCGGAAACAAUUUAAGAAAAUUUAGGCCUUAAUUGAACUCUUAAUUAUGAAACAAUAAGAAUCAUGUGACUAAGAAGGAAAGGGGGUGGAAAACAUAUUUAAAGCUUAAUUUAUUGAAGCUCAUAAGG
rnacentral:lncRNA from 1 species